GAUGAACGCUGGCGGCGUGCCUAAUACAUGCAAGUCGAGCGAACAGACGAGGAGCUUGCUCCUCUGACGUUAGCGGCGGACGGGUGAGUAACACGUGGAUAACCUACCUAUAAGACUGGGAUAACUUCGGGAAACCGGAGCUAAUACCGGAUAAUAUAUUGAACCGCAUGGUUCAAUAGUGAAAGACGGUUUUGCUGUCACUUAUAGAUGGAUCCGCGCCGCAUUAGCUAGUUGGUAAGGUAACGGCUUACCAAGGCAACGAUGCGUAGCCGACCUGAGAGGGUGAUCGGCCACACUGGCAGUGAGACACGGCCCCGACUCCUACGGGAGGCAGCAGUAGGGAAUCUUCCGCAGUGGGCGAAAGCCUGACGGAGCAACGCCGCGUGAGUGAUGAAGGUCUUCGGAUCGUAAAACUCUGUUAUUAGGGAAGAACAAAUGUGUAAGUACCUAUGCACGUCUUGACGGUACCUAAUCAGAAAGCCACGGCUAACUACGUG
rnacentral:rRNA from 1 species